rnacentral:rRNA from 1 species
GAUGAACGCUGGCGGCGUGCCUAAUACAUGCAAGUCGAACGCAUUGAGAGAAGUGCUUGCACUUUUCAAUUUGAGUGGCGAACGGGUGAGUAACACGUGGGCAACCUACCUGAUAGCGGGGGAUAACGAGUGGAAACAUUCGCUAAUACCGCAUAACAAUAGAGAAGGCAUCUUCUUUAUUUAAAAGGCGCUUUCAAGCGUCACUAUCAGAUGGGCCCGCGGUGCAUUAGUUAGUUGGUGGGGUGAAGGCCUACCAAGACGAUGAUGCAUAGCCGAGUUGAGAGCAGGAUCGGCCACAUUGGGACUGAGACACGGCCCAAACUCCUACGGGAGGCUGCAGUAGGGAAUCUUCCACAAUGGACGAAAGUCUGAUGGAGCAACGCCGCGUGUGUGAUGAAGGCUUUCGGGUCGUAAAGCACUGUUGUAUGGGAAGAAAUGCUAGGCUAGGAAAUGAGCUUAGUUUGACGGUACCAUACCAGAAAGGGACGGCUAAAUACGUGCCAGCCGCCGCUGUAA